AUUUAUAUAGUACAAAAAGUAUAAAUGAUUUCCAAUCAUUAGAUUUAAAUAAAAAUUUAAUAUAAAUA